GAUCCUGUUCCUGCUUAACCUAUUCCAGCCAGAGAUCAUGAGAUCACAUUAGACUAAGGACUUUGGACCUUAUCCUGUGGCCAGCCUGCUAAUGAAACUCUUAACUGGAUGCCUUUAAAAUGGUGUCUCUCUUGGAUGCAGUUCCUUGGACACAGGAACUUACUAAGGCUGAUAAGGCCCUAGGCUUAUCAGUGGGCCCUUG
rnacentral:lncRNA from 1 species